AUCUUAUAGAUUGAGUAUAUGAAGCAAGAUACAAAUUACUCCAUUUAUAUAAAUGUAAAAAAAAAAAACAAAACAAAACCUAGGCAGCAUAGCCAAACCCUGUCUGCACAAAAAUGUAAAAUAAAAUUAGUCAGGUAUGGUGGAGGAUGAGUCCUAGCUACUUAGGAGGCUGAGGUGUGUGGAUCACUUGAGCCAGGAGUUCAAGGCUGCAGUGAGUCAUGACAGGACAGAGGGAGAUCUGUCUACUGUCUGUCCCUAUAGAAAAAGAAAAAAUCUCCUGGUGUCUUUUCCUGAAUUUGGUAGACAGGAUGCCAGAGGAAAUGCAUCAAUGCGGAGGGACAGAAACAGCAGUGUGGCCUGGGAAAGGUCAGGCUUUGACACAAGGAAUUUAGAGAAGAAAAAAGGUGUGGUCUGCUGUUUCAUUCAGUCCAUUAUCUGUUGAGCAUUCCUUUUUUUAUUCAAAUGGAUCAGAAGAAAGGAGCUUGAAAUGGACAGUUAUCUCUGGUUUAUCUGGCUGCAGAGUGCAGAGAUGAUUCUCUUUCAGGAUGGGAGAGGGGGUGGGGAGG
rnacentral:lncRNA from 1 species